AUCUCCGGUCAUACCCCGUUUACAACACCACCUCUCGUCUACACCAAUGAAGUUAAGCAACGUUGGCCCGAGUCAGUACCUGACAGGUAGACCAUCUGGAAACACUCGGUGUCGAAGACA
rnacentral:rRNA from 1 species